UACGGAGGGUCCAAGCGUUGUCCGGAAUCACUGGGUGUAAAGGGUGCGUAGGCGGAUUUGUAAGUCAGAGGUGAAAGCCCACGGCUUAACCGUGGAACUGCCUUUGAUACUGCAAGUCUUGAGUCCUGGAGGGGCUGGCGGAAUUCCGGGUGUAGCGGUGGAAUGCGUAGAGAUCCGGAAGAACACCGGUGGCGAAGGCGGUCGACUGGGCCAGUACUGACGCUGAGGCGCGACAGCGUGGGGAGCAAACAGG
rnacentral:rRNA from 1 species